rnacentral:tRNA from 1 species
ACUUGAAUAGCUUACGCUUAAGAGCGCGACACUGAAGAUGUCGAUGAGGUAUUUGUACCUUCAAGUG